GUUAAGAGUUGGCAGUUUUUCAGAGGUGUUAAUCUGAAAUAAGUCUUAGAAUGUCCAUCUCACAACAUCUAAAAGAGUGUUUUUCAAAAUUACAGAGGCGGUGCUUGACUUUCCCGCUGUAGAAGAUUCAAACAGUACAUAUGUGUACUGAGGAAAAUGUGGGCGCCCCUUUGCUCGCUCCGGUUGAUCUUCUUCCUGAGAAGUCAGCCAAGGGCCUUGCCCAAGAGAGGUGCCAAACGAACGAAGUUGAGCCUGAUCGCCUCAGGAGAGCAGAACGACUCGUCAACAAGCCAGUCAGGUCUCUAGAAACCCUUCCAUUAUCAAAAGUACUUCCAGAAGAAUGUAAGCUCCAUGAGGACAGAGUUCGGUGUCCAUUUUUUGGUUGUUCAUUCCUCUGUCCCCAGUGC
rnacentral:lncRNA from 1 species